rnacentral:rRNA from 1 species
UUUAUUGGAGAGUUUGAUCCUGGCUCAGGAUGAACGCUGGCGGCGUGCCUAAUACAUGCAAGUCGAGCGAAUGGAUUGAGAGCUUGCUCUCAAGAAGUUAGCGGCGGACGGGUGAGUAACACGUGGGUAACCUACCUAUAAGACUGGGAUAACUCCGGGAAACCGGGGCUAAUACCGGAUAAUAUUUUGAACUGCAUGGUUCGAAAUUGAAAGGCGGCUUCGGCUGUCACUUAUG